rnacentral:rRNA from 1 species
GAUGAACGCUGGCGGCGUGCUUAACACAUGCAAGUCGAACGGAAAGGCCCAAGCUUGCUUGGGUACUCGAGUGGCGAACGGGUGAGUAACACGUGGGUGAUCUGCCCCGCACUUCGGGAUAAGCCUGGGAAACUGGGUCUAAUACCGGAUAGGACAGUGGUUUGGAUGCCAUUGUGGAAAGUUUUUUCGGUGUGGGAUGAGCUCGCGGCCUAUCAGCUUGUUGGUGGGGUAAUGGCCUACCAAGGCGUCGACGGGUAGCCGGCCUGGGAGGGUGUACGGCCACAUUGGGACUGAGGUACGGCCCAGACUCCUACGGGAGGCAGCAGUGGGGAAUAUUGCACAAUGGGCGCAAGCCUGAUGCAGCGACGCCGCGUGGGGGAUGACGGCCUUCGGGUUGGAAACUCCUUUCGCUAGGGACGAAGCGUUAUGUGACGGUACCUAGAGAAGAAGCACCGGCUAACUACGUG